rnacentral:lncRNA from 1 species
AAUCAGACUAGCUACUUUCUUGUCUGUCUCAGAUGAUUGAGUGUGCUUUACCUGUGCACCUUCACUCUCUCAGGAAACCUAUUUGAAUGUCUUACUAAAUGUAUUAUCAGGGAUAAAACAACUUGUUUUCAGUAGCAGAUUGUAUUUUAAAAAGUGUUAAAAUCAAGAUUUGUUUCAAAAGACCUAGAAUAUUCAGACUUAGAAUAUUCUCGGCCAGGGUUGGUCUUGCCCCUUUUUCUCAUUCUUAUUAGUUGUCAUUCUACUGCUUAGAAUUGUCAUUAAA